rnacentral:rRNA from 1 species
UACGUAGGGGGCAAGCGUUAUCCGGAAUCACUGGGCGUAAAGGGUGCGUAGGCGGCUAUUCAAGCCAGAAGUGAAAGGCAGUGGCUCAACCAUUGUAAGCUUUUGGAACUGUUUAGCUUGAGUGCAGGAGAGGUAAGUGGAAUUCCUAGUGUAGAGGUGAAAUUCGUAGAGAUUAGGAGGAACACCAGUGGCGAAGGCGACUUACUGGACUGUAACUGACGCUGAGGCACGAAAGCGUGGGGAGCGAACAGG